AUUGAACGCUGGCGGCAUGCUUUACACAUGCAAGUCGAACGGUAACAGGUUAAGCUGACGAGUGGCGAACGGGUGAGUAAUGCAUCGGAACGUGCCCGGUCGUGGGGGAUAACGCAGCGAAAGCUGCGCUAAUACCGCAUACGAUCUGAGGAUGAAAGCGGGGGACCGUAAGGCCUCGCGCGAUCGGAGCGGCCGAUGUCAGAUUAGGUAGUUGGUGGGGUAAAGGCUCACCAAGCCAACGAUCUGUAGCUGGUCGGAGAGGACGACCAGCCAGACUGGGACUGAGAACCGGCCCAGACUCCGGCGGGGGGCAGCAGUGGGGAAUUGUGGACAAUGGGGGAAAGGCUGAUCCAGCAAUGCCGCGUGCAGGAAGAAGGCCUUCGGGUGGUAAACUGCUUUUGUACGGAGCGGAAAGGUCUCCUCUAAUACAGGGGGCUCAUGACGGUACCGUAAGAAUAAGCACCGGCUAACUACGUGCCAGCCGCCGCCGUAA
rnacentral:rRNA from 1 species